CCUACGGGAGGCAGCAGUGGGGGAUAUUGCACAAUGGGGGAAACCCUGAUGCAGCGACGCCGCGUGUAGGAAGACGGUCCUCUGGAUUGUAAACUACUGUCCCCAGGGACGAAGAUGACGGUACCUGGGGAGGAAGCUCCGGCUAACUACGUGCCAGCAGCCGCGGUCAUACGUAGGGAGCGAGCGUUGUCCGGAAUUACUGGGUGAAAAGGGAGCGUAGGCGGGGAUGCAAGUUGGGUGUUAAAUCUACCGGCUCAACUGGUAGUCGCACUCAAAACUGCAGCUCUUGAGUGAAGUAGAGGCAGGCGGAAUUCCUAGUGUAGCGGUGAAAUGCGUAGAUAUUAGGAGGAACACCAGUGGCGAAGGCGGCCUGCUGGGCUUUUACUGACGCUGAGGCUCGAAAGUGUGGGGAGCAAACAGGAUUAGAUACCCGAGUAGUC
rnacentral:rRNA from 1 species